GCAGAGCAGAGAAGACGAGGGGACGCGAAGGGAAACUCUCACCACCAUUCCCGAGCCUCCGCGAAGAGCUCCGGGGGCUACCUCUCCGACGCGGCCGGAAGCUGCGGCGACGGACCCGGAGGCACUGGACGGCGUGGCCUGGCACAGCCUCUCUCCGCGCCCCUCGGAGUACCUCUGCCGCCUCUUCCCUCCCGUCGCCGUCGGCCCCUGCGGCUGGGAGUUGGGAGGAAGUGGCAGAGGAGGAGGAGGCCGGCGACGGCAACGGCGACAGGGAGACUCUGCCUGCCUCGGCGACGGCAACGGCGACAGGGUGACUCUUGGCUGCCUCCACCCACUGACCGCUUUAGGGCAAGACAAUAAAGAUACAAUAUCAUUUAAUGUAAAUAAAAAUAUAAAAGAUA
rnacentral:misc_RNA from 1 species